GCCGACGUGGUUUAGGGGUAUAAUUCUCGCUUCGGGUUUGCCCACUCGUGCCAAUCACGAGUCAACAGCGAGAUCCUGAAAUGUGAGAGGUCCUGGGUUCGACUCCCAGCGUCGGCC